rnacentral:lncRNA from 1 species
UUCCCUUUCUGUGUGUGUGUGUGUUCGACCCGGAUCCACCCCUUUUCUGUGUGCAACACAGAGGAGAGCUCGCUGUUGUGGUGGGCCUGGACGGUGGCAAGCUGGGAGCCGGCUAGGUCCUAUCCGACGAGGGCCGUCAUGGCCUCCACCUCUGCCCUGUUGCCGAUGGACUGCAUCGCGACCAUGACCACUACGUUGACAAGAAAGGUACUGCUACCUAUUCCAAUUCCCUUCACAAAGAAUGGCAUCUGGAUUGAGCACUUGUACAACACUACAUUGUUUGUACAUGUGAAUGUUAAUGGUAGUUAUGACUGAUAAGAUGGGUCAGCCAUGGAUGCAAAGGGUAAAGACCUUCAGAUUUUCUGUUGUUGCUAGCUAUACUCUGCUGUACCAUCUGGUAAUGCCAAUACAGUGGUUGUAUUGUUUAUGAUUGCGGUUGGAAAUAGAUAGAUGAAUGAUUUCAAAAACUGGAUUAAGCUCUGCGGCAAGUUGUGUUCCCAACUUUUACUCUCACUGCCUUGUUACUUCAGGGCAAAUCUUCCCAACAAAAAGCAUACCAGAGGCCUCUCUUUCAAUGUCUGAAGAUUGGUUAUCUCAUAACUGGCCGUCAGAGGGAGAAAUUUUCAGCUUCAUAAUCUCCAUGUAAAUACCAUCAUCUCUGUUCCCUCUUGCCCACUUUUGUUACAUAUUUACAUUUUUUGUGUUGGCAUGUUCUAAAGCAGCUGCACAUUUUUUUGCCCUUGUGAGUAAAUUGUCAGAAAUCUAAACUCAUGGGCAGAUGAAUUGUUUGAUUCAGUGCUUUGCCAUAUCAAAAACAGAAUUUUUCUAAGUAGCUCAUGUCAUUAAUUUUUUAAUAAUGAUGUAGAUGAGAUAUACUCCAAGGUAUGCAGAUGGGUAUUUUUGGUAGAAUAGGUAGUGGUAAAUCAACUCUCAUGCAUGCCCUUUUCCGUAUCAUGUCUCCUACUGUCGGUUAGAUAAUAGUAGACAUUGUCGACAUUGGCACCAUUGGGUUGUACGAUCUGAAUUCUAGAUUGGCCAUUAUCAAUGUUCGAUUGAACUGUGAGAUACAACUUUGACCCUCUAGGAGAGUACACUGACAAUCAAGUCCAGGAGGUAGUCUUGAUAUUGACAUGCUCAUUGCUUGUCAUUUCUUAGAUUACUAAACAAUCACUUAAAAUAUCUGUUUGUCAUGGCUCGCAGUUGAAUCUGUUGCCCGUAAUUGUUUUUUAGUUUGAUGUGUCUUCACAUUCCUACUAUCCUAUGAACCUACAUGUUCCCAUUGAAACUUUGUAAACCUUGUACUGGCUACAACGGUUGUGUGCAUUUCUCAAAUACAGAGGCCCUCCAAUCUUCUUAACUUAUCUAAAAAUGAUAGAAAAUUGUUAUUCUACAUUUCAUGCAUCGAGUCACUGUCAGUUAGGAGUUGAAGUUCGGAGAAAGGGGCUAAAACAUGACUCGCCAGCUCUGCUUUACUCGUACCAUAGAGUUCAUAUUCUGGUAAUUUUGGUGCUUCUGAAAUUGCUGACAAAUUCGAAAUUGCUGACAAAUUCGAAAUUGCCCUUGAAGUGGUAGAGAGUGGAGAGAACUGGUGUGUGGGCCAGUGUCAUCCCGUCUGUCUCAGUAGGGUGAUUCUCAGACGGACCAAGUUACUGGUUCUGCCACUGCUUCGGUGGACAUUGCAACAGAUAACCUAAUACCGAUCACACCACAACAGCAUUACUCUGGGCGAUUGGCAUGACGAUCGCACAUCGAAUCACCUUGGUCCUUCAGAGUGAAAUAGUGUAGCUUCUUGAAUAUGGUAGGACAGCUUUGUUGUACUCCUGCCGUUUCAUGAAGCUUCAGAUUAAAUUACUACAUUUCCCCUUGAUUGUAAGAAAGUCAAGCAUAUAAUAUGGAGUAAUUUAAUCUGAAGCUUCAUCAAACACUGGCAACAAUACUUAUCUCUCCAAGGUCUAUAUAGGUAUGUUUAUCUUGCUGUUUUAGGUUAGAAUGAUGAUUUUAAGCCAUUUAGAUAACCUUCAACUAGCAAUGCCAAUCAUAUAACCCUUGAGCAUGUGACAGAGAGUUCACCCUCGCCAUGUCCAGUGACGUUGCUAGCAAGAGUAAGAUGUGUGGGUUGGCGGAGGUGGCGCCCAGUAGCACAGCAAGGGUGUUGUGUUACAAAUUUUUCAUCAAUAAAUUUGCACAGGAAUAUAUUUUUUUCCUUCAAGAAUGACCCUUAAUAUUUUGAAGUACUUUCAAUAUUGUUUCGCUCAUAUAAAAGUAUGUGUUUUUCUACUUACAAAAUUGUAUCCUUGUAAAAAAGUAAUUGCUUUUUUUACUUACAUUGAGAGAAGGAUCAUCUUCAGUGUAUACAAAUUCCAUGUCCUUUGCAAUAUUUGGCUGCCUUGAAUGAUGCACAUGUUGACCUUCUGUCUCUGUAUGUUGGGUGGAGUCAAGCCCCUACAUGCAGUAGAGUAAUCAUAUUUAAGGGUUGUAGUUCAGAGUUUUUCCGUGUAUGUUGGUCAAGUCGUGCAAGUGAAGCACCACAUUGUCCCCUAUAUAAUUUUUUUGACUUGUUUGUCUAUGUAUGUUGGGUGAAGUCAUGCAAGUGAAGUGAUUUAUUUUUCCUAUUUGUUUGUCUAUGUAUGUUGAGUGAAGUCAGUGAAGAAGAAGUUCAUUUUGUUCGUCUUUUCGACAUUUAUUUUGUUUUGUUUUUUAUUAGCGGGAGCUACAUGGACCGGGCGGCCUUUUUUUGUUUUUGAUUAGCGGGUAAUACUAUCCAGUUUACAGUGCCUCCUAAAAGUUUGUGUUCAGUUGAUGAAUUUACAAUACGACGACGAUGGAUUAACUGCCCUGUAUUUACUAUAAUUUUUUGAAUUGCUAUGAUGGAUUUUACUGUACUAUAGUACACAUAGAAGUCUACUUUUUUUGUUUUCGUAGUAAAUUAUAGUUAAUUGAUGACUGACCUGGUGAUGGAUUUACUGUCCUAUAGCUUCUAUAAUUUACAUCACUAUUUUUUUUUGAUUGUUUGAAUUUACAAAGACCUUAUGUUUGAAUUUACACUACCCUGUUUGAAGAUUUACAAUCCGAUAACUUCUGUAAUUUACAGUAGUACCCUAAAGAAUGUGAUUGUUGUAUUUUACAGUGACCUAGUAUAGAUUUUACAGUAUACAGUUACCUGAAUUUACAUUACUACAUUUUUCUGAACUAUGUUCUAGACAUCUUUUGAUGAUGCUCUUAGGUACUGAACUUUUUUUACUGGAAGAACUAUUUGAUGGAGAUUGUGAGAGUACUGACCUGUAGUUUGCCUUGUUGGUGUGACUGUAGUUUCCUGAUUGUGUAGCUAUUCUGUCCCCUUCUUCCUCCAUCUUCUUUCUUGUUCUUAUCUGAUCAUAAAGCACACAUUGUUACUUGUUGGUUCUCCUUAUUUUUACAGAAGUUCCAGUAUCUUUGUUGUGAUCUGGUUUUUACUGACUGGAAUUUUAGUAAAGUGAACACUGUAAAAUUCAUCAAAACUCGACACACGUUAAAAGUUAUAGUUUAUUCAUAGUGAGUUGACUGUAAAUUUCAACUGAAACCACUGUAUUUGAAGCUUCAUGGCGAUGAAAUGUUUAGUACUCCCUCUAUUCCUAAAUAUAUGUGAUUAGUUCAUCAUGUGUUGAUCAUUGUACAGCAGGUUGAUGCUGAUUUUACGGCAGCCUAAUGCUGAAUUUAUAGUAUGUUUGUGUCCAGGAGUUUCUUCUUCAAGUAUCAACUUCAGAUCCUUGACAAUGCCAUGAGAAUUUCAGGUUUUCUUCCAAAAGUGUUGUGAAGAAAACAGAACUGUCAAUAAACUGGAGAAGGUCGUGAGAGUACUGACCUGGCAAUGUUGCUUUUUGGCCCCUUUCAUUGCUUGCUCAUGGAUCAUAGAGUGCAUAGGUCAUACAUGCCUGCCAUUUUGUAGUUUCUGAAAAAUUGGUUGGAUGUCCCUUUAUUUCCAGUCAUGUUUUUUUCAUUGGUGUCAAAUUGUUAUUGGGUGGCAUAUUUGAUUGAAGGCCAAUUCAAUUUUAGUCGAUUGUGAUAUAGACCCUUCCUUUUUUUAAUACCAAAGUAUUCUCUUUGUACGUGAAGUGUCUAUGCCAAGUGCUUUGUUUGGGCCAAG